UUGUCUAUCUGGUUUGCUAUUAAAUGGAAAAAAAAAAGAUCCAUGGCCUAGGUUUGUGACCUUCAUUGCACUUUGGAGGGGUGCUUGCUUAAGGUCGGCCCAAGUGGUCGAGCCUACGUCAUAAUUUGUUGCAGCGGGGGCCUGCGUGCGCGCGGCUCCUAC